GUACAUAAAAGCACACUAUUACACCUUCAUAUGUGCACACACACACACACCCAGACUCACUUCAUACACACAUAGAUACAACAGCCACAGCUCCCCAUCACCUACACACACACACACACACCUGGACACCCAGCUCUAAUAUAAUCAGAUAGAGAUAUGCAUGCAGACAAAUUUGCCUGUAUAGUCAAACACAUAGGCAAAUAGAGAACGAGACACCACAUGAACAAAGGCAAACCUACACACAAAGACACAGAGCACACUUACGCAUAUAUCUAUAGACCCACCAUGGCACAUAUGGGUAAGUGCACACAGGCAAACUCACACACACGAGCAUGCACAGGCAGAGAACACAAAUGUACACUCCCAGGUGUCAUAAAGAACAGCCCAGCUUCGGCUUGGGAACGUCACAUCAGACAAUAGGAACGGCUGCACCGCGCGUUUCCUCGGCUGCCAGCUUCCCAGCCACAGAGGAUGCCUCACCUGCUAUGUCAGCUCCCCUCUGCCCCACCUCACAAGAAGCUCAGAAGCUGAGGAGUCACAGAGAGACCUCCCUACUGUGUCAGAGCAUUUUAGGACCCAAAGGGACCUAAGAGAGUGCUCAGACAGCUGGCUGCGUUAGGAGCUACCUGUGGCUGCUGAAGAAGAGUUUGCGUCAAUUUAAAGAAAGAGCCAUUCAAGGAAUGAGGACCAUGACCUUGGCUGCACUGACCAGCUGGGCUCUGGAGACUCAGUGAGGCUGCCCAGCCACCAACAGGCCCUGCACAAUAGAUCCACGGACCCAGCAGUCAGAGGUGACCCUAGGGGUCACUGGCCCGUGGCUAAGGAGGAGGAGCACAGACCUGCGACCCCCUUUUCCCAUGGACCACCCAGGGAGGCUGAGCGGGGACUCUGAGCUCAGAUGGACAACCUCAGAGCCACUGGGAAUUUGCCUGAGGCCACUGGGGCCAGGGUUAAAUC
rnacentral:lncRNA from 1 species